AUACCCGGAAGAGCUUUCUGUUGUCAUGUGGCCUGUGUUUCCUAAGCUUGCUUAUAUAAAGACUUUCCUGGGUCACUUGUUAAAAUGCAAACUCAUGAAUGUCACUGCUAACCGUACCGAACCAGCAUCUCCAGGGAGCAGUCUGAAAAUCUGUAUUUAUAACAAAUGUCCUACAAGAUACUGAUCAUCAGUUUGCACAGGAACAGCAAUUCAUUUCAAAGUGCAGGCCAGUGCCAACAGGGGAGAGUGGGCAGAGAAAUCAAAUGAAAAUGCCAAAACGCUGACUACAAGGCCAGUUUGCAUCAUGUGAACCACUUUGGAGCCUGAGGACUGAAACCAAAAAUAUGCUUCUGUUCAGAGGUGGCUAACAGCAUCCAUUACUAGUGUUAUUAUUGUUAUUGUCAUCAUCAUCACCAUCAUUCGUCUCAUAAAUUUAAAGCUAGCUGAUGUGUGAUGAGCUGCCAUGUAUCAAGGAACUGAUGUCUUCAGCCAACAAACAGCUAGAAUCUGAGGGGCUGAAACAGCCACAGGGGUGAUCUUGGAAGUUGGUACUUAUUGCCUGAGUCAAGACUUGAGAUGACUACAGCCUUGGCAGACAUCAAGAACCUGAGCCAGCGGACCCAGCUAAGUUACUCCCAGAUUUCUGAUCUACAGAAUUCCUGUGAUAAUAUUGAUACGUGUUUAUUAUUUUAAGCUGCUGAAUUUGGGGGUAGGUUGUCACACAGGCAUAGACAACUGAUACAGUUGGAAAUAAUUUUGAAAGGAGAAAGGCAUAGUAUGAAAUCUGAUUCUGUGGUAUGGAGGAGUUUGAAAGACUGGCAAAACAACUUGGACAUGGUACAGAAGCCAUUGAAAGCUCUUUCUCUCUCUCUCAUAGCUUUAUGGAGACAUAAUUCACAUACAACAUAAUUGUCAUUUAAAAUGUACAACUCACUGGUUUUUAGUAAGUUAUCAGAGUUGUGAAAUCAUCAUGACAAGUUAUUUUCAUACACUUUGAUCUGCCCCCAAACAAAUCCCAUACCAAUGAGCAGUCAUACCCCGUUUUGCCCCAAGCCCUAGGCAACUUCUCUACUUUUCGUGUCCAGCAAAUUUUCCUAUUCUGGACAUUUCAGACAGAGUAAUAAAAUACGUGGCUUUUUGUGUCUGCUUCUUUUA